AGUUAAAGAGGCUGUCAUUUAUCUGAGUGUGUUUUGGCAAUCCUUUUUCAUGAGUGAACACUCCCUACCAAAUACGGUUAUGUUGUUAAACAGGAUUACUGUUUUUAGGGGUUACUGUAAUUCCUUUAGUGAAGGUUCCUUGUUUUAAUUAUACUAUUUAAAAUUUUUGUUGCAGGAGAAAUAACAAUCAGUUCCUAAGAGGAGCUGCCAUCCAUAGACACAACGAGAACUGGUAAGUGAAAGUUUCUACAACAUCGGAACUUGGCAACCAUAAAAAUACAGAUUUUAUCACAAUUUUAUCAGAUGAAUAAAGGAAAGAAGGGCACAUUCAUCAAUUUCAAGGUGUAUUUGUUUUGAUCCAAAUUGUUGAUGGGUUGCUGAAACACAGAAUUCUCAGAGGACAGUAGACCAACUGUAAGUCUCUGAUAGCGUAUCCUCUAGAUGAACCAAGCUCAUAUUGGUUGUAUCAAAAAGAGAAAAAAGUCAUCACAUCGGCCCAAAGAAACCAAGCCACAAGAAGGAAUGUAAUUUUCUAAGUGUAUUUUUAGGGCUGAUCUCGAAAAUGACGUUGGAUUUCGGCAAUCCUUUUUCCUGAGUGUACACUCUCCACCAAAUGAGGUUAUGUUGUUGAACAGGAGUACAGUUUGAAUUUUUCCGACUGGUGACUUGGACGGUCAACCGUUGGAAUUCGGCGGUUUACCCCAAAUCUCCACUAAGGCAGUGCAUGUUCGGGGAUCGAGCACGUCAACGUUUUCAUAUAAACAACAAAGAUGGCAGCGCAUUUUGUGCAGGUGUUUUGAAUGUACGGAUUGCAGUGGAGAUCCACACUCAAAACGGACUUGAAGCAACAACGUACUUAAUUAACAUUUAAAUAUGUUUACCAUCGAGUUAAUUUUAAUGCCUGAUAGUAGAGUGAAGGAGUGUUCUCCAGUUAAGAAAAAAGCUGAAGCGUCGCUGUGUAUUAUUGCAUUCAAAGAGAGAAAAAACAGCAGCCAGAAGAAAGAGCCUUUAGUACUCUUCAUUGGAGCUGAUCAUUAUUUUCUCGUAAUUGAAAUGGAUAGAGAUUGUGUUUCAAAAGGUAAAAAUUCUCACUAAUCAGGCAAAUAGGGAUUGUCCCCACCCUCCUUAUUCUGUGAGAGUACUAAACUUUUUUUGGGACAAUUUUGGUCAAUUUCGAGGCUUCAUCACUGAUUUUCAGCAGCCCCCAACCCCCUCCCCGCAAGCAUAAGACCUCUCCUGUCAGAUUUCCCGGGUCCAGCUGAAAUAGCACAGCUUCAUUUAAUCAUUCAAUCUAAUUUUUUUAAUUUAUGUUUAGUCAUACAUAUCGAAGACUUUAGCCUCCAAUACUCGUCUUCUACGCAUUUGCAAACAUUUGUGGUUUUUUUUUUUUUUUUCUUUUUUUUGUAACUGUCUUCUAAACACUUGCGUCAUUGUAUGGUGAAUUUUCCAUCAGUCUAGAUACUCAGACUCAUCACUGAUCAGUUUCUCUGGAAUAUCUAGCAUAAAUGGUUUAAAUGUAGGUAACACCUUGUAGGUCUUCCAGAUAGAGUAGUUGGUGGCUAAAAAAAUAAUUCUCACUAAUAUCAACUUCCGUUUGGAUUCAGUUCUUUACAAAUCGAAUAUUAAUGUAAGAUUUCUUGAGAUAAUGUAUUCUAAGAUGAGCCUAAUUUGCUGCUGGCAUGAAAAGAAGCAUAUACACUUUAGGUCCUGGCUGUGGUAUGAGAGGCUGUGCAACAGAAUCAAAUUAUUUUUUUGAGAUAAAUUCCUUACCUCUGAAUUAGAAAAGCCAUUGAUUCAGCUUUGUUCUGACACCAACACUAAUAAAACGAUCAGCCCAACAGGCAGCGUGCAUCAGAGGAAUUUGUACAUUAUUUGCACUGGGUCUGGGAAAUACUGAAAUAAUGGUUUAUUCCGCUGAAAACAAAGGAAUUUAUUUGAUGUUCAAUGCUUUAUGCAACUACUUACACAGAAUGGCAAGAGGCUGGUGUUACCUUUGACGCAUCAACGAAAAGGUAUCACAAAUGAUAUCGAAGUUAAAAGUUACAAAAUCAAGCAGCGCUACUAUUUUCUAAUUUCUUGAGAGCACUAGAUUUUCAUACCAAAUAAUCAGAAGUGUUCGGAGGCUGUUAAGUAAAUUUCGGUGGAAAACCCACCCUAUGAAGACAUUGGUACAAUGAACAAGUGGAGUGAAAUAGUUGCAAAGAGCAAACAAAUACUUACGUUAGUGUAACGGUGAGAGCUUAUUAAGGCUAAUACAGAGGAACUGAAACGAUUUAAAUUGAAUCACUUAGGAAUUAAUAUAAUAUAAUUGACAGCUUUGGACGCCUAGGUGUGCAGGGUGAUGAUAAAUAUGGCGGCGCGCAGCGGUCUGUCACAACGUUGAGAUUGCCGAACUUCCUAAAAACACACCGCCUCGGUGGAGAUUCGGGGUUAUCCGCCAAAUUCCAAUGGUUGACUGUCUAAGUUGCCAGUCAGCAAAACCUGUUACUUUUUAGGGGUUACUGUAAUUCUUUUAGUAUAGGCUCGUUGUUGUAAUUAUACUAUUUAAAAUUUGUGUUGCAGGAGAAAUAACAAUCAGUUCCUAAGAGGAGCUGCCAUCCAUAGACACAACGAGAACUGGUAAGUGAAAGUUUCUACAACAUUGGAACUUGGCAACCAUAAAAAUACAGAUUUUAUCACAAUUUUAUCAGAUGAAUAAUGGAAAGAAGGGCACAUUCAUCAAUUUCAAGGUGUAUAUGUUUUGAUCCAAAUUGUUGUUGGGUUGCUGAAACACAGAAUUUUCAGAGGACAGUAGACCAACUGUAAGUCUCUGGUCGUAUCAAAAAGAGAAAAAAGUCGUCACAUCAGCCCAAAAAAACCAAGACUCAAGAAGGAAUGUAAUUUUCUAGGUGCAUUUUUAGGGCUUGUCUCGAAAAUUACGUUGGGUUCUCUGGAUCCUCACGGUAUGCUUGGAAAAAUCGGAAUUUGCAUGUACUCCAAAAAAAAAAAUCGAGGUUUACCACAGGAAGUUCAGUUGUGUGGGAACUGAGUAAAUAAUAGAGGACAAGGGAAAUGAAAGAAGAGCCAAUUAUCGCAUCAACCUGAGUGGAUCAGUUAUCAUUUUGUUACCAUCUAACUUUCUGUUGAAUGGUGUGAUUCUCGAAUGUGACAUAUGUGUCUUCUUUUCUUUCCCCAAUUGGAAGUAGGUGAUUGUUAAAUGCACCUUUUCAGAAUCAUUGCAAAAAGCCCACCUAGAAUCUGUGACAAAUUUUAGGCGAACCCAAGUGUCUGUUGACCAGCAGCCUGAUUAUUGAUGCUCAUGUCAGCACGAAAAGACUUUAAAAACUGAUCAGAUAAAGGAUUAUCAUGUGUUAGCCUACCGACAAAGCCUGAUAAAGCUUUAACAAU
rnacentral:lncRNA from 1 species